rnacentral:rRNA from 1 species
UACGUAGGGUGCGAGCGUUAAUCGGAAUUACUGGGCGUAAAGCGUGCGCAGGCGGUUCGUGAUGUCUGAUGUGAAAGCCCCGGGCUCAACCUGGGAACUGCAUUGGAAACUAGCGGGCUGGAGUGUGGCAGAGGGGGGUGGAAUUCCACGUGUAGCAGUGAAAUGCAUAGAGAUGUGGAGGAACACCGAUGGCGAAGGCAGCCCCCUGGGCUAACACUGACGCUCAUGCACGAAAGCGUGGGGAGCAAACAGG